UCAACACAAAUAUGUUUGCUUCAGCUCCACUGCUGCUGCUGGCUCUUGCCCCCUAUGUGUUCUGUGCUACUGAGCUCAUCCAGCCAGACUCACUGCUUAUAAAGCCAGGAGAGACUUUAACCAUCACCUGUAAAGUGUCUGGAGCUUCUAUCACUGAUAGCAGCAGCCACUUUGGAACAGCUUGGAUUCGACAACCUGCAGGAAAAGCUUUAGAAUGGAUCAAUUUAAUUGACUACGAUGGAGAUAUUGCUAAGAAAGAUUCACUUAAAGACAAGUUUGUGGUCUCUCGAGACACUUCCAGUAACUCCGUGACCUUACGGGGACAGAACAUGCAGACUGAAGACACAGCUGUGUAUUACUGCGCUCGUGUAACACACAGUGACACAACAAGCUGCAGUGCUGCACAAAAACCUCAUCACAAUUCACUUCUUUAAUUAAAUAACAACUACAUUUUACUGAGUAAUUAAUCCCCAUACAGUAUUACAAAUAUUUCAGCAUAGACACCAACACUGGUAUUAAUAAGAUAAAUAAAUAAAAGUUUGUUACGUUAACUUUACAAUCUAUACGAAAAAUUAAUACAAAUCCCAUGAAAUUAAAUGUGAAAUGUGAACAUUGUAUAAUUUGAUCAUUGAUUUCUGGUAAUGUACAAAUUAAAAGGAAAAAAACAAACACAAAGUUUUUUGAU